AGCUGAGAAGCAGAAGUUUGGCCUCAACCCAGAUCAACACCAGCAGCGAUGAACUGUGGGUUUAGUUCAACACAUCUGACAUGCUCUGGCUGACCCUGCUUAGGAAGCAGUAGACCUAUGAUGAGAGGCAUCCCAGUGGUAGAACUACUCUUCCAACAGCCUUGACAGUGAGCGCGCUGGAGAAUGACCCUUCUGCCAGAUUUCUGCGUUAAGGAGAGAGGAAGACUGUUUAAGGGAAUGACGGACACCAAGACAGAAGUAAGACGGUUUUUAUUCUGUUUUGACUUGUUUUACCUUGACAUUUCUGUACCUCAGAUGUGCAGCCAGCACACAGACCUACCAAAAGGUGCUCUCCAGCCACCACUGAUGACCCAACAUCUGAAGGUUUUUGGGUGUUCCGGGCAUGGAAAUGGGAGCAAACA